UUAGGGAAACAACGACGACCCUUUCGUGACCCUUUGAGCCACUUUCACUACAUUUACAUUUAUUCAUUUCUCCUUACAAUAUACAUAUUCUCCUUUUUAACAUGUACUAUGCAUUCACAAACCAUGUCGUACUAUAUAAAAAUAUACAUUGACGACACAAAUCAAAUAAGUAUAUAGAUUUUAGUAUGUAUUUAUCUUGAAAUAUAUGGAAAACAACCAUGUCGUACUGCACAAAAUAAUUUGAUGGAAACAAAUUAUCAUACAUACAAAGCAAUGGCCAGAAUAUCCCAAACAUUAGCUCACCGUCAAUUUAAACACAAUUAUCCUGGAGAUAAUCAUAAUUCUAAUCCCUAUUGUGGUGUUUUAAAAUUCUCAUGUUGAUUUUGUCUAAAAGCAGCACUUUUGCUAUCAUAUAAACAUAUUUAAGCAGCACUUUUCAUUUCAUAUAACGAAAUAAUGAACCACUUGACACAUGCGGCUAUAUUUUUUUAACCAUAUGAUAUUUGCCAUAUUGGUAUAUAGUUGGACACUUUUACUGUUUAUAGUCAAAGUCAGUGUGGUACUCAAAAUAUGGCACUUACAAAAGUUG
rnacentral:lncRNA from 1 species